GCUUAAUUUCUUCCUCUCAACCUUUCCUAUUGAAAAGUCUCAAGCAUCUUGACCCCACACAGCGCAUUCUUCACAACAGUUGUUUUCAUACUCUGCCCCUUUCGACUUAGGAAUUCUCAGAGUUGCCCCACAGAGAAGAGAAGAGGGUGCUGCCCCUCUACUUCAAGCCACAGGAAGUCACUUCAAGAGGAACUUCAAGGACACCACUCAGAAAGCAUGAUAGCCCCCUGGAGUCUGGGAGACAUGUUAGCCUGAUGUCUGGCUCAUGCCCAGGAAACGUACAGGGUGAGGAACUGGUCCAAAGGCAGGAAACAGUCUAUGAAGAAAGAGAAUACAUUGGGAAAGAGUGGAUGUUGUAUUCCUCAUGGCCAUAGGUGAGCCACACGGGAGAGAAUCAACCAGGUUCAUCUUAAAAGGGACUCCUCCCAGAGGACUUCUUGACAAGGGUGAAGCAAUUCAGUAGACAGUGGAGUACACAGGAUACCUGACUGAGGGUGGAUUGUAAGAAGUGGUAUGUGUGCCUGAUAAAUGUGUAACAACUUUCUGGAGCGCUGAUUAGGGAUACUUCCUACACCAACAUACACCUGCUUAGAUGAAAUCUCUGCCUCAACUCUUCUUUCUCUCUGUCUCCAGCUCCUGAAGAGUUAAAUCCAAAAGAGGAAAUGAUCCAGAGCCCUGCUGAGAUCUCUCCACUGUUCAAGGUACUAAGGAGGGAAGAGUGAGAAAGUGUAGAUCUCAAUCCUUGCCCAAUUCCAAACAUGUUCAGCCUGUGCUGGAAGGAAAAUUUCUAUCAACAUGAGAUUAGAAUUUAAUAUAGAUUCAUCUAAGUUUAAUAAUAGAAAGUUUAGGAAGUUUUGGAAUCUUCCAAAUAAAUACUGAAAGUAUUAUAAAAG
rnacentral:lncRNA from 1 species